GUAGGGAAUCUUCCACAAUGGACGAAAGUCUGAUGGAGCAACGCCGCGUGAGUGAAGAAGGUUCUCGGAUCGUAAAACUCUGUUGUGAGGGAAGAACAAGUACCGGAGUAACUGCCGGUACCUUGACGGUACCUCAUUAGAAAGCCACGGCUAACUACGUGCCAGCAGCCGCGGUAAUACGUAGGUGGCAAGCGUUGUCCGGAAUCAUUGGGCGUAAAGCGCGCGCAGGCGGUCCCUUAAGUCUGAUGUGAAAGCCCACGGCUCAACCGUGGAGGGUCAUUGGAAACUGGGGGACUUGAGUGCAGAAGAGGAAAGCGGAAUUCCAAGUGUAGCGGUGAAAUGCGUAGAGAUUUGGAGGAACACCAGUGGCGAAGGCGGCUUUCUGGUCUGUAACUGACGCUGAGGCGCGAAAGCGUGGGGAGCAAACAGGAUUAGAAACCCUUGUAGUCC
rnacentral:rRNA from 1 species